rnacentral:rRNA from 1 species
GACGAACCGUGCGAACGUUGUUCGGAAUCACUGGGCUUAAAGGGCGCGUAGGCGGGCGAUCAAGUCAGGGGUGAAAUCCCGCAGCUUAACUGCGGAAGUGCCUUUGAUACUGGUUGUCUCGAGGGAGAUAGGGGCAUGCGGAACUUCCGGUGGAGCGGUGAAAUGCGUAGAUAUCGGAAGGAACGCCGAUGGCGAAAGCAGCGUGCUGGAUCUCUUCUGACACUGAGGCGCGAAAGCUAGGGGAGCAAACGGG